ACGGGAGGCAGCAGUGGGGAAUAUUGCACAAUGGGCGCAAGCCUGAUGCAGCGACGCCGCGUGAAGGAUGAAGUAUUUCGGUAUGUAAACUUCUAUCAGCAGGGAAGAAAAUGACGGUACCUGACUAAGAAGCCCCGGCUAACUACGUGCCAGCAGCCGCGGUAAUACGUAGGGGGCAAGCGUUAUCCGGAUUUACUGGGUGUAAAGGGAGCGUAGAUGGCAUAGCAAGUCUGAAGUGAAAGCCCGGGGCUCAACCCCGGAACUGCUUUGGAAACUGUUAAGCUAGAGUGCAGGAGAGGUAAGCGGAAUUCCUAGUGUAGCGGUGAAAUGCGUAGAUAUUAGGAGGAACACCAGUGGCGAAGGCGGCUUACUGGACUGUAACUGACAUUGAGGCUCGAAAGCGUGGGGAGCAAACAGGAUUAGAUACCCUGGUA
rnacentral:rRNA from 1 species